rnacentral:rRNA from 1 species
GUCCCUGUUGGUCGGUCCGCCUUAUUGGUGUGUACUUACUCAACGGGGACUUACCUCCUGGUGAGCUGUCAUGUCCUUCACUGGGUGUGGCAGGGAACCAGGACUUUUACUUUGAAAAAAUUAGAGUGUUCAAAGCAGGCCUACGCCCGAAUACAUUAGCAUGGAAUAAUAAAAUAGGAC